UAUGUGAUCGUCUCUCGCAUAUCAAUAAGCGGAGGAAAAGAAACUAACAAGGAUUCCCCUAGUAACGGCGAGUGAAGCGGGAAGAGCUCAAAUUUGAAAUCUUAAAGGGUUUCCCUUUACGAAUUGUAGUUUAAAGAAGUGUUUUCUGUUGAGGUUUUGGUAAAAGUUCUUUGGAAUAGGACAUCAUAGAGGGUGAGAAUCCCGUAUUUGACCUCUACUUUCAACUUUGUGAUACACUUUCAAAGAGUCGGAUUGUUUGGGAAUGCAGUCCAAAAUGGGUGGUAAAUUUCAUCUAAAGCUAAAUAUUGGCGAGAGACCGAUAGCGAACAAGUACCGUGAGGGAAAGAUGAAGAGAACUUUGAAAAGAGAGUUAAACAGUACGUGAAAUUGUCAAAAGGGAAGCGUUUGACACCAGUGUUGUUUUUCUGAAAAUCAAUUAAAGAACUGUUUAUGCUAAGUUGUUUAGACUUUAUCAGCUAAUCUGUUUAGUUUUGAGCUUUUCUUUAAUGCACCUUUUCAGUUAACAAGUCAACAUCAAUUUCUUUUGCUGUAAAAAAGCUUGAGGAAGGUGGCUUGAGAUUCGUCUUAAGUGUUUAUAGCCUCUUGCCUAUGCAGUCGGAGAGAUUGAGGUCUGCAGCGUAGAUCCUUCGGGGCUAAAUGCAUUUGUGCUAAGUUAUAGCAUUUUAUAGACAACUUGUUGACUAUGAUUUGUCUUGUAGCUUACUCGCUUAUGUUAUUUUACCUACGCUUAGGAUGUUGAAGACUCUACAGAGAUA
rnacentral:rRNA from 1 species